UACGUAGGGCGCAAGCGUUAUCCGGAAUUACUGGGCGUAAAGAGCUCGUAGGCGGUUCGUCGCGUCGGCUGUGAAAUCCCGAGGCUCAACCUCGGGUCUGCAGUCGAUACGGGCGGACUGGAGUUCGGCAGGGGAGACUGGAAUUCCUGGUGUAGCGGUGAAAUGACGCAGAUAUCAGGAGGAACACCGGUGGCGAAGGCGGGGUCUCUGGGCCGAUACUGACGCUGAGGAGCGAAAGCGUGGGGAGCGAACAGG
rnacentral:rRNA from 1 species